UACGGGGGGGGCAAGCGUUGUUCAGAAUUACUGGGCGUAAAGGGCUCGUAGGCGGCCAACUAAGUCGGAUGUGAAAUCCCCAGGCUUAACCUGGGAACUGCAUCCGAUACUGGAUGGCUUGAAUCCGGGAGAGGGAUGCAGAAUUCCAGGUGUAGCGGUGAAAUGCGUAGAUAUCUGGAGGAAUACCGGUGGCGAAGGCGGCAUCCUGGACCGGCAUUGACGCUGAGGAGCGAAAGCUAGGGGAGCAAACGGG
rnacentral:rRNA from 1 species